AACGCACCUUGCGCCUCUUGGUAUUCCGAGAGGCAUGCCUGUUUGAGUGUCAUGAAAUCUCAAUCCCCUCGGGUUUUAGGACCCGGGUCGGACUUGGACAUGGGCGUCUGCCGGUUAAAUGGCUCGCCUCAAAUGACUUAGUGGAUCUCUCAGCAUCCGUGACAGACGUAAUAAGUUUCGUCUUGUCCCUUGCAGAUGAGUCCGCUCACAACCUGCCAUCGCGCACUUUUAGACUCUGACCUCAAAUCAGGUAGGACUACCCGCUGAACUUAA
rnacentral:misc_RNA from 1 species